rnacentral:rRNA from 1 species
GAUGAACGCUGGCGGCGUGCCUAAUACAUGCAAGUCGAGCGAAUGGAUUAAGAGCUUGCUCUUAUGAAGUUAGCGGCGGACGGGUGAGUAACACGUGGGUAACCUGCCCAUAAGACUGGGAUAACUCCGGGAAACCGGGGCUAAUACCGGAUAACAUUUUGAACCGCAUGGUUCGAAAUUGAAAGGCGGCUUCGGCUGUCACUUAUGGAUGGACCCGCGUCGCAUUAGCUAGUUGGUGAGGUAACGGCUCACCAAGGCAACGAUGCGUAGCCGACCUGUGAGGGGGAGCGGGCACACUGGGACUGAGACACGGCCCAGACUCCUACGGGAGGCAGCAGUAGGGAAUCUUCCGCAAUGGACGAAAGUCUGACGGAGCAACGCCGCGUGAGUGAUGAAGGCUUUCGGGUCGUAAAACUCUGUUGUUAGGGAAGAACAAGUGCUAGUUGAAUAAGCUGGCACCUUGACGGUACCUAACCAGAAAGCCACGGCUAACUACGUGCCAGCCGCCGCGGUAA